GGGCUGAGCCCCGAGCAGGUCAAGAGGAGCCUCGAGAAAUACGGACCCAAUGAGCUGCCGGCAGAGGAAGGCAAGUCCAUCUGGGAGCUGGUGGUGGAGCAGUUCGAGGAUCUCCUGGUGCGGAUCCUGCUCCUGGCCGCCUGCAUCUCCUUCGUG